rnacentral:rRNA from 1 species
UGCGUAGGUGGCGUCGUAAGUCGGGUGUGAAAUCUCGGGGCUUAACUCCGAAACUGCAUUCGAUACUGCGGUGCUUGAGGACUGGAGAGGAGACUGGAAUUUACGGUGUAGCAGUGAAAUGCGUAGAGAUCGUAAGGAAGACCAGUGGCGAAGGCGGGUCUCUGGACAGUUCCUGACACUGAGGCACGAGGGCCAGGGGAGCGAAACG